rnacentral:rRNA from 1 species
CGUGAGUGAAGAAGGCCCUAGGGUCGUAAAACUCUUUCGCCUGUGAUGAUAAUGACAGUAGCAGGUAAAGAAACCCCGGCUAACUCCGUGCCAGCAGCCGCGGUAAUACGGAGGGGGUUAGCGUUGUUCGGAAUUACUGGGCGUAAAGCGCACGUAGGCGGAUUAGAAAGUUAGAGGUGAAAUCCCGGGGCUCAACCCCGGAACUGCCUUUAAAACUACUAGUCUAGAGUUCGAGAGAGGUGAGUGGAAUUCCGAGUGUAGAGGUGAAAUUCGUAGAUAUUCGGAGGAACACCAGUGGCGAAGGCGGCUCACUGGCUCGAUACUGACGCUGAGGUGCGAAAGUGUGGGGAGCAAACAGGAUUAGAUACCCUGGUAGUCCACACCGUAAACGAUGAAUGCCAGUCGUCGGGUAGUAUACUAUUCGGUGACACACCUAACGGAUUAAGCAUUCCGCCUGGGGAGUACGGUCG